rnacentral:rRNA from 1 species
GAUGAACGCUGGCGGCGUGCCUAAUACAUGCAAGUCGAGCGAACAGACGAUGAGCUUGCUCCUCUGACGUUAGCGGCGGACGGGUGAGUAACACGUGGAUAACCUACCUAUCAUACUGGGAUAACUUCGGGAAACCGGAGCUAAUCCCGGAUAAUAUCUUGAACCGCAUGGUUCAAUAGUGAAAGACGGUUUUGCUGUCACUUAUAGAUGGUUCCGCGCCGCAUUAGCUAGUUGGUAAGGUAACGGCUUACCAAGGCGACGAUGCGUAGCCGACCUGAGAGGGUGAUCGGCGACAUGGGAACUGAGACACGGUCAAGACUCCUAAGGGAGGCAGCAGUAGGGAAUCGGAGGCAAUGGGCGAAAGCCUGACGGAGCAACGCCGCGUGAGUGAUGAAGGUCUUCGGAUCGUAAAACUCUGUUAUUAGGGAAGAACAAAUGUGGAAGUAAAUAUGCACGUCUUGACGGUACCUAAUCAAAAAGCCACGGCUAACUACGUG